rnacentral:rRNA from 1 species
GCUUGCUCUCGGGUGACGAGCGGCGGACGGGUGAGUAAUGUCUGGGAAACUGCCUGAUGGAGGGGGAUAACUACUGGAAACGGUAGCUAAUACCGCAUAAUGUCGCAAGACCAAAGUGGGGGACCUUCGGGCCUCAUGCCAUCAGAUGUGCCCAGAUGGGAUUAGCUAGUAGGUGGGGUAACGGCUCACCUAGGCGACGAUCCCUAGCUGGUCUGAGAGGAUGACCAGCCACACUGGAACUGAGACACGGUCCAGACUCCUACGGGAGGCAGCAGUGGGGAAUAUUGCACAAUGGGCGCAAGCCUGAUGCAGCCAUGCCGCGUGUGUGAAGAAGGCCUUCGGGUUGUAAAGCACUUUCAGCGGGGAGGAAGGCGUUAAGGUUAAUAACCUUGGCGAUUGACGUUACCCGCAGAAGAAGCACCGGCUAACUCCGUGCCAGCAGCCGCGGUAAUACGGAGGGUGCAAGCGUUAAUCGGAAUUACUGGGCGUAAAGCGCACGCAGGCGGUCUGUCAAGUCGGAUGUGAAAUCCCCGGGCCCAACCUGGGAACUGCAUUCGAAACUGGCAGGCUAGAGUCUUGUAGAGGGGGGUAGAAUUCCAGGUGUAGCGGUGAAAUGCGUAGAGAUCUGGAGGAAUACCGGUGGCGAAGGCGGCCCCCUGGACAAAGACUGACGCUCAGGUGCGAAAGCGUGGGGAGCAAACAGGAUUAGAUANCCUGGUAGUCCACGCCGUAAACGAUGUCGAUUUGGAGGUUGUGCCCUUGAGGCGUGG